UAUGUCUUCGGAUAUAGAGACCGGCGCACGGGUGCGUAACGCGUAUGCAAUCUACCUUUUACAGGGGAAUAGCCCAGAGAAAUUUGGAUUAAUGCCCCAUAGUAUAAUUGAAUGGCAUCAUUUAAUUAUUAAAGUCACAACGGUAAAAGAUGAGCAUGCGUCCCAUUAGUUAGUUGGUAAGGUAACGGCUUACCAAGACAAUGAUGGGUAGGGGUCCUGAGAGGGAGAUCCCCCACACUGGUACUGAGACACGGACCAGACUCCUACGGGAGGCAGCAGUGAGGAAUAUUGGACAAUGGGCGCAAGCCUGAUCCAGCCAUGCCGCGUGCAGGAAGACGGUCCUAUGGAUUGUAAACUGCUUUUAUACAGGAAGAAACACUCCGACGUGUCGGAGCUUGACGGUACUGUAGGAAUAAGGAUCGGCUAACUCCGUGCCAGCAGCCGCGGUAAUACGGAGGAUCCAAGCGUUAUCCGGAAUCAUUGGGUUUAAAGGGUCCGUAGGCGGUUUAAUAAGUCAGUGGUGAAAUCUGGUCGCUCAACGAUCAAACGGCCAUUGAUACUGUUAGACUUGAAUUAUAAGGAAGUAACUAGAAUAUGUAGUGUAGCGGUGAAAUGCUUAGAUAUUACAUGGAAUACCAAUUGCGAAGGCAGGUUACUACUUAUGGAUUGACGCUGAUGGACGGAAGCGUGGGGAGCGAACAGGAUUAGAUACCCUG
rnacentral:rRNA from 1 species